rnacentral:rRNA from 1 species
GACGAACGCUGGCGGCGUGCUUAACACAUGCAAGUCGAACGGAAAGGCCCUGCUUGCAGGGUACUCGAGUGGCGAACGGGUGAGUAACACGUGGGUGAUCUGCCCUGCACUUCGGGAUAAGCCUGGGAAACUGGGUCUAAUACCGGAUAGGAGCCAUUUUUAGUGUGAUGGUUGGAAAGAUUUUUCGGUGUAGGAUGAGCUCGCGGCCUAUCAGCUUGUUGGUGGGGUAAUGGCCUACCAAGGCGGCGACGGGUAGCCGGCCUGAGAGGGUGGACGGCCACAUUGGGACUGAGAUACGGCCCAGACUCCUACGGGAGGCAGCAGUGGGGAAUAUUGCACAAUGGGCGCAAGCCUGAUGCAGCGACGCCGCGUGGGGGAUGACGGCCUUCGGGUUGUAAACUCCUUUCGCUAGGGACGAAGCUUUUUGUGACGGUACCUAGAGAAGAAGCACCGGCUAACUACGUG